rnacentral:tRNA from 1 species
GCCUUCAUAGUUCAAUGGAUAGAACGCAGGUUUCCGGAACCUGAAAUUUAGGUUCGAUUCCUAAUGAGGGCG